rnacentral:misc_RNA from 1 species
AUGAGAUUCUGCAAGUGUAAGAAGGUGAUUCAAGCACCGAUUCCAAGCACCAAAACCCCCAAGAGUUUUGGAGUGCUUGUGAAGUCGGACAGCAACACUUUGAAGUAAUCGAGAUGUUCGGUGUCUGAAGGCAUCCAACUGGAAUUUAGGAUCUCUCAAGUGCUCAACACCUUCCCAGCGUGCAGUUACAGGAUUUGGUUGAGACAGAUAUGCGGUCAUGGAUUCUUUCAAGUAGUUCCAUGUAACUGCCAGUGUCCCACCUUGGAACUUUUCCUUGUAUUGCUUUAAGAGAUCACCUGCUACCUGUUGUAGAAGCACUGUGUUGUCCCCCUCGAAUGUCUGAAAAAUAUCAUGAUCAUUCCUCAAUGAACCAAACCGGUUGACAGCAGCAUAGCCAUGUCCUCCACAGGCUUCCCUGCAGACACUCAAUGACUUUGCUGUAUAUGAUGUCACAUAUGCCUUAAGGCCAGCUGAAAGCGAAUGGACAUCACCAACUAAUUGUUCAUCAUGAGUCUUUUUCAUCUCCGAAUAUUUUUCUACCAAAUGCAAUGUAGCAAAAUGGAAUGCAUAAGUUGAAGCUAGCAUUGGCAUGAGCUUGUGCUGUUGAGACUGAUAAUCAAGAAUGCUAACUUCAGGCUGCUUGGGAGGGCCAAACUGCUGGCGCAGCAAUGAAUAUCUGAUGGCAAUUGUUCCAGCAAGUUUGAGCACACCAACUGAAGAAUAUGCAAGGCCAACCCUUCCACCAACAAGUUCGCCUAGCGUAGCAGCAAAUCGCUUAUUUAUGGUUGGAAGGCUACUGGUGUACUUCCCAUCUCGAGACACAUCUCCAAAUCGAUUAAGAAGAUUGUCUCGGGGAAUUCUUACUGAACUGAACC